rnacentral:piRNA from 1 species
UGGAGCUUGUAACUAAGACAGUGACCAGAA